rnacentral:rRNA from 1 species
UCUGGUUCAGAACGAACGCUGGCGGCGCGUCUUAAGCAUGCAAGUCGAACGGCAAGAGGUAGCAAUACCUCCUAGAGUGGCGGACUGGUGAGUAACACGUGGGUGACAUACCCUUCAGAUGGGGAUAGCUAUUAGAAAUAGUAGAUAAUACCGAAUACGAGCACAGGGGUUAGAGAUCUGUGAGGAAAGGAGCUAAGGCUCCGCUGAAGGAAUGGCCCGCGGCCCAUUAGCUAGUUGGUGAGGUAAGAGCCCACCAAGGCGAUGAUGGGUAUCCGGCCUUAGAGGGUGAACGGACACAUUGGGACUGAGAUACGGCCCAGACUCCUACGGGAGGCAGCAGCUAAGAAUAUUCCGCAAUGGACGAAAGUCUGACGGAGCGACGCCGCCGUGGAUGAAGAAGGCCGGAAGGUUGUAAAAUCCUUUUGAAACUGAAGAAUAAGCGUUGUAGGGAAUGACAGCGUGGUGACAGUAGGUUUUGAAUAAGCAACGGCUAAUUACGUGCCAGCCGCGGC